rnacentral:sRNA from 1 species
AAAGAGUCACACAGAUGACUGGGCUCCUGGGCCUUUCUCCAGUAAGCCACAGAGGAGUCAGCUGCAAAUAUUCUCUUCUGUUCUACAGACCUCUCUCCUCUUCCUGCUCAUGGAGUGAAAGAAAGAAGGCUAGCUCAAGGAGUCUAGCUGCUCCUCUAAGUCCCUCUUCUAUCUCUGCAGGACUAAGAGCCUCUGGAAGGGACUCAGCCCCAACAGUGGUGUCAGGGAUCCUAGGGGGUUCCGUGACUCUCCCCCUAAACAUCUCAGUAGACACAGAGAUUGAGAACGUCAUCUGGAUUGGUCCCAAAAAUGCUCUUGCUUUCGCACGUCCCAAAGAAAAUGUAACCAUUAUGGUCAAAAGCUACCUGGGCCGACUAGACAUCACCAAGUGGAGUUACUCCCUGUGCAUCAGCAAUCUGACUCUGAAUGAUGCAGGAUCCUACAAAGCCCAGAUAAACCAAAGGAAUUUUGAAGUCACCACUGAGGAGGAAUUCACCCUGUUCGUCUAUGAGCAGCUGCAGGAGCCCCAAGUCACCAUGAAGUCUGUGAAGGUGUCUGAGAACUUCUCCUGUAACAUCACUCUAAUGUGCUCCGUGAAGGGGGCAGAGAAAAGUGUUCUGUACAGCUGGACCCCAAGGGACCCCCAUGCUUCUGAGUCCAAUGGAGGCUCCAUUCUUACCAUCUCCCGAACACCAUGUGACCCAG